ACAACGUUUGGACCGUCGGUCUACCGAGCAAUAUCAUCCGCUCGAUGGAAGAUAUUUCCUUUCGUAUU
rnacentral:pre_miRNA from 1 species